CAUCUCCGUUUGAGAGAGCACAGGCUUUUCCUUCUCUCUCUCGCGAAUCCUCCAUGAGCACGCUAGCAAGGAAAAAGACACGGCGAUUCACUGAAACGAGGUCGGGAGUUAGAGACGACGCCAUUUCAUCUUUCCUGCGCCAUCUCGCGCUGCUCCGCCUUUCUUUUCUGAGAUCGGUCAGGUUUUUUUGUUCCCUUUGUAUCUUCCUUUUGAUGCAUUGCAACGGAUCCUGUAAUCGAUGGCGAGCCAACCCCGUUGAAGGACCAAUUGACUUUGUUCUGUGCUGCACAGCAGAGUGUGGUAGGCCAGUUGCAACAAAACAAAAACACACCACGCCACUUUGAACUUACUGUUCCCCUUCUUCACACACAUCCCCCUGGACUUACGGACGGUUUAUUUUAAGGACUUUUUACGGACUCUAUACAUCCCACGAACAGGAAGGGAAGUGGGUGUGGGCGGUUGGAUCUAUUUCUCCAGCUGAAUAAUUGUUGCAAUUUGUUAACAAAGUCUAUGAAGAUACAACCAAGUGUUGUUAUUUGGAUUUUGCUAAGUGAUAUUGUGGUUCAUUUUGGAAGUGAACUUUGUACAUUUAGAAGGGUGCACCCAGGUAAGGUUUCUUUUUUUGUGAUUACUGUGAUUGUGCCACAGGGUUGUCACUGAGGAAAAUACUGGUACCAAAAACAGAGACUUUUAUUUAUAAUAUUUUGUAUGUUUGUAAUUUUCUUUCUUUUGUUUCUGGAUGACAAAAAAUACAAAGCCGGCAUUUUCAAAACUCACAGUUGCCUGAGUCUCAUUCAGUUUGCCUCUCCUGUACAUAGC